rnacentral:rRNA from 1 species
UACAGACGCUGUUUGACGCGGGGAUUCCGGUGCGCGGGGUAAGCCUGUGUACCAGGAGGGGAACAACCCAGAGAUAGGUUAAGGUCCCCAAGUGUGGAUUAAGUGUAAUCCUCUGAAGGUGGUCUCGAGCCCUAGACAGCCGGGAGGUGAGCUUAGAAGCAGCUACCCUCUAAGAAAAGCGUAACAGCUUACCGGCCGAGGUUUGAGGCGCCCAAAAUGAUCGGGACUCAAAUCCACCACCGAGACCUGUCCGUGCCCGUUACAGGGCAAUCGAGUAGAUUGGCGCUCUAAUUGGAUGGAAGCGGGGGCGAGAGCUCCUGUGGACCGAUUAGUGACGAAAAUCCUGGCCAUAGUAGCAGCGAUAGUCGGGUGAGAACCCCGACGGCCUAAUGGAUAAGGGUUCCUCAGCACUGCUGAUCAGCUGAGGGUUAGCCGGUCCUAAGUCAUACCGCAACUCGACUAUGACGAAAUGGGAAACGGGUUAAUAUUCCCGUGCCACUAUGCAGUGAAAGUUGACGCCCUGGGGUCGAUCACGCCGGGCAUUCGCCCGGUCGAACCGUCCAACUCCGUGGAAGCCGUAAUGGCAGGAAGCGGACGAACGGCGGUAUAGGGAAACGUGAUUCAACCUGGGGCCCAUGAAAAGACGAGCAUAGUGUCCGUACCGAGAACCGACACAGGUGUCCAUGGCGGCGAAAGCCAAGGCCUGUCGGGAGCAACCAACGUUAGGGAAUUCGGCAAGUUAGUCCCGUACCUUCGGAAGAAGGGAUGCCUGCUCCGGAACGGAGCAGGUCGCAGUGACUCGGAAGCUCGGACUGUCUAGUAACAACAUAGGUGACCGCAAAUCCGCAAGGACUCGUACGGUCACUGAAUCCUGCCCAGUGCAGGUAUCUGAACACCUCGUACAAGAGGACGAAGGACCUGUCAACGGCGGGGGUAACUAUGACCCUCUUAAGGUAGCGUAGUACCUUGCCGCAUCAGUAGCGGCUUGCAUGAAUGGAUUAACCAGAGCUUCACUGUCCCAACGUUGGGCCCGGUGAACUGUACAUUCCAGUGCGGAGUCUGGAGACACCCAGGGGGAAGCGAAGACCCUAUGGAGCUUUACUGCAGGCUGUCGCUGAGACGUGGUCGCCGAUGUGCAGCAUAGGUAGGAGACAUUACACAGGUACCCGCGCUAGCGGGCCACCGAGUCAACAGUGAAAUACUACCCGUCGGUGACUGCGACUCUCACUCCGGGAGGAGGACACCGAUAGCCGGGCAGUUUGACUGGGGCGGUACGCGCUCGAAAAGAUAUCGAGCGCGCCCUAUGGCUAUCUCAGCCGGGACAGAGACCCGGCGAAGAGUGCAAGAGCAAAAGAUAGCUUGACAGUGUUCUUCCCAACGAGGAACGCUGACGCGAAAGCGUGGUCUAGCGAACCAAUUAGCCUGCUUGAUGCGGGCAAUUGAUGACAGAAAAGCUACCCUAGGGAUAACAGAGUCGUCACUCGCAAGAGCACAUAUCGACCGAGUGGCUUGCUACCUCGAUGUCGGUUCCCUCCAUCCUGCCCGUGCAGAAGCGGGCAAGGGUGAGGUUGUUCGCCUAUUAAAGGAGGUCGUGAGCUGGGUUUAGACCGUCGUGAGACAGGUCGGCUGCUAUCUACUGGGUGUGUAAUGGUGUCUGACAAGAACGACCGUAUAGUACGAGAGGAACUACGGUUGGUGGCCACUGGUGUACCGGUUGUUCGAGAGAGCACGUGCCGGGUAGCCACGCCACACGGGGUAAGAGCUGAACGCAUCUAAGCUCGAAACCCACUUGGAAAAGAGACACCGCUGAGGUCCCGCGUACAAGACGCGGUCGAUAGACUCGGGGUGUGCGCGUCGAGGUAACGAGACGUUAAGCCCACGAGCACUAACAGACCAAAGCCAUCAU